GACGAACGCUGGCGGCGUGCUUAACACAUGCAAGUCGAACGGAAAGGCCCUGCUUUUGUGGGGUGCUCGAGUGGCGAACGGGUGAGUAACACGUGAGUAACCUGCCCUUGACUUUGGGAUAACUUCAGGAAACUGGGGCUAAUACCGGAUAGGAGCUCCUGCUGCAUGGUGGGGGUUGGAAAGUUUCGGCGGUUGGGGAUGGACUCGCGGCUUAUCAGCUUGUGGGUGGGGUAGUGGCUUACCAAGGCUUUGACGGGUAGCCGGCCUGAGAGGGUGACCGGCCACAUUGGGACUGAGAUACGGCCCAGGCUCCUACGGGAGGCACCAGUGGGGAAUAUUGCACAAUGGGCGGAAGCCUGAUGCAGCAACGCCGCGUGCGGGAUGACGGCCUUCGGGUUGUAACCCGCUUUCGCCUGUGACGAAGCGUGAGUGACGGUAAUGGGUAAAGAAGCACCGGCUAACUACGUG
rnacentral:rRNA from 1 species